ACCCUUCUUCACAUUUUGCUGUUCUUGCAACUUCUAUCAUUACGGCCGUUUUCCGCAUGUCGAGAACUGGUAUUUACCGCCACCUAGUGUGCACUAUGCAAACUGUGCAGCUCAUCAUUAAUGGCCAACAUUAAUCUUUCUGCUAAAGAUUUUUCAAUGGACUGCAGGAUAAAAGCAUGCUUCCACAUUGUCACUCGUUAUAUCUGUUCCAAGUUUAGCAUCUCCCUGAUUUAACACCCCUCAGAC